GGCUCGGUGGCAGAGUGGUAAUGUGUCCGCUUCUUAUUUCACUAAAACAUAGUGUUUUGCAGAAGUCGCCUGUUCGAACCAGGCCCGAGCCA